rnacentral:lncRNA from 1 species
UCGGGUGAAUGUUUCUUUUCUUCCUCUUGAGUUGGCUCUUCUUCAAUUUCUCCAACAUUGAUUCUUUCCAUUGGUUGAGUCUUUUGGAUUGCAUUUGCUACAAUAUUGAGAUUUCCCUAGUGAUCAAAUUUUAUAAAAACUUGAGCAUCAUCAUAAAGCGCAUUUAUGUGUACGCUUGUGUGCUUAAUCCUCUAUAGUAUAUGAAAUCUGUUUCACCUUGUCAAAAUAU